rnacentral:misc_RNA from 1 species
UCUCCGUUGGUGAACCAGCGGAGGGAUCAUUGCUGGAACGCUCCCCAGGCGCACCCAGAAACCCUUUGUGAACUUAUACCUUACUGUUGCCUCGGCGCAUGCCGGCCCCCUUGGGGGCCCCUCUCCUGGAGGAGCAGGCACGCCGGCGGCCAACCUAACUCUUGUUUUUACACUGAAACUCUGAGAAUAAAACAUAAAUGAAUCAAAACUUUCAACAACGGAUCUCUUGGUUCUGGCAUCGAUGAAGAACGCAGC